GGGAAGGGGCGGCAGCCUAAACAUGCAAGUCGAGCGGUAGCACAGAGAGCUUGCUCUCGGGUGACGAGCGGCGGACGGGUGAGUAAUGUCUGGGAAACUGCCUGAUGGAGGGGGAUAACUACUGGAAACGGUAGCUAAUACCGCAUAACGUCGCAAGACCAAAGUGGGGGACCUUCGGGCCUCAUGCCAUCAGAUGUGCCCAGAUGGGAUUAGCUAGUAGGUGGGGUAACGGCUCACCUAGGCGACGAUCCCUAGCUGGUCUGAGAGGAUGACCAGCCACACUGGAACUGAGACACGGUCCAGACUCCUACGGGAGGCAGCAGUGGGGAAUAUUGCACAAUGGGCGCAAGCCUGAUGCAGCCAUGCCGCGUGUGUGAAGAAGGCCUUCGGGUUGUAAAGCACUUUCAGCGGGGAGGAAGGCGGUGAGGUUAAUAACCUCAUCGAUUGACGUUACCCGCAGAAGAAGCACCGGCUAACUCCGUGCCAGCAGCCGCGGUAAUACGGAGGGUGCAAGCGUUAAUCGGAAUUACUGGGCGUAAAGCGCACGCAGGCGGUCUGUCAAGUCGGAUGUGAAAUCCCCGGGCUCAACCUGGGAACUGCAUUCGAAACUGGCAGGCUAGAGUCUUGUAGAGGGGGGUAGAAUUCCAGGUGUAGCGGUGAAAUGCGUAGAGAUCUGGAGGAAUACCGGUGGCGAAGGCGGCCCCCUGGACAAAGACUGACGCUCAGGUGCGAAAGCGUGGGGAGCAAACAGGAUUAGAUACCCUGGUAGUCCACGCUGUAAACGAUGUCGAUUUGGAGGUUGUGCCCUUGAGGCGUGGCUUCCGGAGCUAACGCGUUAAAUCGACCGCCUGGGGAGUACGGCCGCAAGGUUAAAACUCAAAUGAAUUGACGGGGGCCCGCACAAGCGGUGGAGCAUGUGGUUUAAUUCGAUGCAACGCGAAGAACCUUACCUGGUCUUGACAUCCACAGAACUUUCCAGAGAUGGAUUGGUGCCUUCGGGAACUGUGAGACAGGUGCUGCAUGGCUGUCGUCAGCUCGUGUUGUGAAAUGUUGGGUUAAGUCCCGCAACGAGCGCAACCCUUAUCCUUUGUUGCCAGCGGUUAGGCCGGGAACUCAAAGGAGACUGCCAGUGAUAAACUGGAGGAAGGUGGGGAUGACGUCAAGUCAUCAUGGCCCUUACGACCAGGGCUACACACGUGCUACAAUGGCAUAUACAAAGAGAAGCGACCUCGCGAGAGCAAGCGGACCUCAUAAAGUAUGUCGUAGUCCGGAUUGGAGUCUGCAACUCGACUCCAUGAAGUCGGAAUCGCUAGUAAUCGUAGAUCAGAAUGCUACGGUGAAUACGUUCCCGGGCCUUGUACACACCGCCCGUCACACCAUGGGAGUGGGUUGCAAAAGAAGUAGGUAGCUUAACCUUCGGGAGGGCGCUUACCACUUUGGGAUAGC
rnacentral:rRNA from 1 species